CACACACACACACACACACACACACACACACACACACACACACACACGGAGCGCUGGGAAGUCCACAUUUACUGUACUGCGUGCUGACUGCCUUGAAGAAACUGUAGCUAACCACCUUAUUAGUAUUCUUGCCUCCACUGUGUCUCACUUGCAGCAUCAGGGCGCUGAGCAAAAUGCAGUAGAGCAGGGACAGACACGGCUCUGGCAAUCAUCUCAAUGCAGGCUGCUGAGUGUUGGGGGUGGGGGCAUGCAGCGCAUCAAGAUUAAUAACCUUGCCAUAAUCCGGGGCACCGUGCAAGCAGACACCUCUGCUGAUUGACUCGCUCCUGGCUUGAUACAUCUGCCUUGGGGGAGAGGAAUCCGGAAUCUAGUUUCCAACCCCCAGCCCCCUGAUUUUGGAUGUUCUUUUGAUUCUCCACAGACCUGGGAAGGUAACCGCAAGCCAUACCAUCUGCAGCUCACAGCACCUCUUGGAGGUUACUACUGACAGUUUUCCUUACACAGGCUUCUGUGAGUGCUUAUGUGUUUGUGUGUGUUCCUGCGUGUGGGUGCCUGCUCCUUGUAAAAGAGAUUGUGUGAGUGUCCGUACUGUGUGUGUGGGCUUGUGAGACAACCAAAGGAUAGGUAUACCGUACAAGAGGAGAGCUCAACAGCGUGAUAAAAAUCUCCAGGCACUGGGGCUCACAAGCUGUAGUCCCCCUCCUCUCACCGCCCCUUCUCUGCCCUACUCCCCCGGCUCCUUUCGUCUUUGAUGAGUUUUUGGCUCACUUUUUGGCGGAGUCUCUUGGACAUGUUCUGCUGUUGCUGGAGGAUCAAAUAAAUGGAACCUUUGAAAGUUGAUUAUUUUUCUCUUAUGUGACAAACAUACACACAGAGAGAGCGCGAAGAGGAAAGGAAAUUAGAGUGGUGUAUGACCAGCUAGAGGAUUUAAAAUUUUCCUUGGUGAACUUUGAGGAGCCACUGAGAAGAAACCAAAUGAAGUGUUUACUGUCAUUAUCUCUAUUUGAUGAAGAGGAUACUGAGGCUCAAAGAGACUUAAUAACUCGUCCAAGAUCAUCUAAUGCUGAGUAAUCAAGAGUGAGUGCCAUGAAGGAGCAAAAACCCGCCUGGACCAGCAUAGUUUUGAGAGGAUAAACCACAGAGCAGCAGGUGAGCAGAUUUCUCAAUUCUAAUUGAACUGGACUAAACAUCAGAUGAAGAAAGAUACAAGAACUAAGCCAUGGGCUUAUCUCACUGAGAUGAUCACUGGCCUGAAAAAAAUCAGUGGCCCAAUCUGAUAAUUUAAAGUUGCAUUUCUGAGAGGUAAGCUAAUGGGUUGACUUAGAAUUUAUAACUAGCGCCUUAAUGUGAUAAGAGAUUCAUGUUCUCAUCUUGUGUUCUCAGUGGUGUUGUGUCAGAAAUUGCUGGUCUUGAGGUUGUUCAGUCCCACGAACACCUCAGAAUGCCUGACUUAAACACUCAGCUCUGUAGACAGCUUCUACAAGCCACUGAUACUGAGUUUCCAAAUAAUUUGGGUCUCUGGUGCAUGAUAACUGUUUUUCAGGAAAGCAAGUCUGCUGAGUUUCCAAUCCCACAAAUAACUCAGCCUGUCACUUAAAAUAAUCGGUGAUAGGACUAUCCUAGAAGGAUUUUGUGGUUUGAAACCCUUAGUCGCAUGCUAUUUACAUUAUGAACUUGUUAUGAAGCGGUGUGCUCAUGUCAGUAGCAUCCCAGCAAUACGUUGCUUUCCUCUUGUAUACGUUUGUUUUUGGUUCAUAGUUGACCAUUUUCAAAACUUAGGUACCAUUCUCUCAUCUUCCAUCUUCUCUCACUCCUGUGGCACUCUGUGCUCCAGUAUGAGGUAAAAUUUAACUUGGUUGUGGAAAUUAUGUCAGUGUGUUGUUGGCCAGAAGAUUGAUGGGUUAAUUUAAUUCUCUGGAUUGAUAAUGAGAAGUGGGGACCGGGUAAGUCUAGAGUGACACAAGAGAAAUGAAUUGAAAUGUAGAGUUUUCGACUUCUCUUGUGUAUAUCAGCGCCUUCGGGGAACGCUGUGCCAGAUGGAUUGAAAUGCUGGUGGUAUGGUUUUUAUCUUGAACUCUAUUUGUAAAUAACAAUACCAUAAUAUAAUAAAUUUUUGUCCAAACAUCUCAAUUUAAAUUAACAUACUCAUAAACUUUAUAAAUAUAAAAUGUCUCAAACUAAUAGAUAUCAUUUAUAAUUUAAAAAUAGGACUAUCUUUGCAAGUCAAUAGGUAGCCCUGUGUCACAGAUGUGAUAAUUUUUUUACCCCACUGGACACAAUUAGCUACUUAUUUAAAGAAUAGCAGUUUUUACAAGGCAGCUAUGCGCAAAAACAGGACAUGAUUCUUCUAUUGUGAAGAUUAUUAGAUUCUUUGAAUUUUGAUAAGAUAGCAUUUUGAUUAGUAUGUUUAUUUAUACCAUACUGUUUAUGUUUGAAAUUAGAUAAGUAUAAUAUGAAGAAGGUGAUUAUCAUUUGUGUUUUGUCUCACAAAAUUUUAUGGUUCUUGGGAAGAAUGGGCAAUCCAUCUGAAAAAAAAUGUGGUUUAUAACUUUCUGAUUCUAUCUUAUACUGCAAAUGUUAUUAAAUAUAUAGACAGGCACAUGUGUAUGUGGGGAGACUAGUGCGCAUUUGAGAAACAUGAUAUGUUUUACAAAGAACCGACUGUGUUGCCUAUAUAACCAGAGAGAGCAAGGGAAAGGAGAGUCAGAAGCAGAAGCAGAGGGAGAGGUGGGGCAGGAAGAGGGAGUGAGAUAAUUUGUGAAAAGCAGAGAAAUUCCUUCUUAUAGAUUUAUGUUGCAGGCUAUAUUUUAACAUAAGAUCAUGGACACUUAUUUGCUACUUGGAUGCCCUUGUAAAAUUACUUCAUCUCCUGCAUGGUUUCCAUUGUUGUCAGAAGGACAACAAUAACAGCACUGACCUCAUAAGUUUAUUAUCAAAAUCAGUAAAGCUGUGCAUAUGAAGAAUGAAGAAUUGUGCCUAGCACAAGGAAAGCACUCAGCAAACAUUUUCACAGUUGUCCUUAUUUCAUAAUGCAUGAAGUUUCCCAUUACUCAGGAAACGUAAGCCAGUCAGAAAUGGUAUUAACCUUGAUUUGGGUUUCAAUAUUGGUUGAUUCUAAAGGAAGCCUUUACAACUCUCUAGUUGUCUCUUAAUGGAUAUCGAGGUUGAAUCAGACUAUGUAUUUAGAGCCCCCUGUGGUGCCUUUUCUGUGUUAUUGAAACUGGAUUGCAGAGCACUCUCUCCAGUCUUCCUUGAUACGACUACAAUUUCUGAAUACAUUUUGAUUCUUUAGUGAAGUUCUUAAAUCUCAAACAAGCUAGUGCUUGGCAAGAGGAGCAGAUAUGAGAGGAUCAUCGAACUGCACAUCUGAGACCCGAGCUGGCUUAGUAUCUGAAAGCACAAUGAGCAGAAUUAAGUAAACAAUUCCUUUCACUCUCAUAAACAACUAACAGAAAAAUCCUUACUUUUAAAUGGCAGGCAGAAGGUUAACCCACAGUGUGUAAGCAUUUUUUCUAUUGAAAAAAAAAAAAGAAAGAAAGAAUACCAGAGCAAGUAAGUAGAAAUUUCUUUAGGCUGCGGGAGGUUCAAAAGCCUUAAGCACCUUUAUGUAGAAGAACCUAUACACAUCUCACUGCAUUUCAAGGAGGUUCAGAUACUGAUGGAGUGUUAUUUGAAAGCCACCUUUCUAUUUUGGCUUCUGCCAACUUGCUCUGGUGUGCUUUUUUCUUGCUGGCCCUUUUCCAUUUGACUUUCUUACUGAUGCCCCAUUCUUUGACUUUCUUUAGAUAAUGGGAGAAUACUGACUGUGCAGAUGCCAAGGGUGAAAGGGCUUUUUUUCCUCACUGAGCUGCUUUUUCAUUCCAAGGGGGAGUUUGCAAUCUUUUGGUAAAUACUUAAUAUACAUACAUUACUGUCAUAUAGAUGUGAAAAUAAAAAAAAUUCUGCUUAAUAAAUGAAUCAUCUCGGGGUUGGGGAUUUAGCUCAGUGGUAGAGCGCUUGCCUAGCGAGCGCAAGGCCCUGGGUUCGGUCCCCAGCUCCGAAAAAAAAAAAAAAAAAGAAAAAAAUAAAUGAAUCAUCUCACUUGUUUCAGAAUAAAACCAAAACCAAAAUGCUGAGCCAAAUUAUUAGUUAUGCUUUUAUGUUUUGAGAUGUUUUUUUAGUCCUAAUAAAAUGUGAAAGUAAUAGAGAAACCCCAAUGUUUUUCAAGUAAAAAAUUAAAAGCAUAUCCUUUUAAAUUAAAGAAAUGUAAACUUAAUUUAGGUAAUAUAAAGCCCAUUUAUAUAUCACAUGGAAGUUAAUAAAUCUCAAAUUAAAACUGGUACAUUAAAUCAGACCAUUGCCAGACUGAACAGACAUCCCAAAACCAUGGUAUGCAGAGGGUGAGUUUAUGAAUGCUAAAAUCCCAGAUCCUUUCUGUGUCCAGCAUACAUCCUUGUAAGCCAAGAAGAGUUAGAACCCUAACAUAUACUCCCUUUCUUCACGUGUAUGACUAAGUAACAUGAAGUUUAUUACUUUUAGUGUAUUCCUAAGUAAAGUAAAUGUUGAAAGCUUAUUAAUUCUUCAGUGGAUGAUUUAAAUACUUCCAAUAUGUGCUUUGUAAUAUCCAACGUGGGUAAUAACUGAACUCACAUUUGUUUUCGGUCCUUCUAGAAGCCAUACGCACUUAAGGAAGAGAGUCACUCAAAUAUAUAAGUACAUGCUCCAUGUUUUUUGUGUAGACCUAUGAAAGCACAGAAAAGGGUAAACCCUUGUUAAUUUGGAAAAAGACACAGAAUAAGACUGUAUAUUACCAAAGGAUAGACUUUGUUAGCUCAAUUUUGUAUGAUAAGUGGAUUUUAACAGGAAUAUAAUAUAUUUUAAUAUCAAUUGUCUACGAUAAUGGUAUUCAUAGUUACCCACUACCUUACCCAGUUUAAGAAACAAAAUUUAUUUACUUACUUUUAUUUACUUUUUUAUUUACUUUGCUUUCUCCUCUUUUUUUGUCAUUAAGAUGAUUCUCAGUCUUAGGAAGAAAC
ensembl:lncRNA